GGAAGUCAGCUCCAGAAUUCAAAGUUUCUUCAAAUAUAAGUGGUCCUUACAACUAAUUCUUUCGAAAAGAUAUGUCAUAUGUCCCCAUUUCCCUUUGUAUUGGAUGAUAGAGCUGAGCAGGUGACGUUGGACAUUUCAAGACUGAACCCCAGACUGGCACUUGCUGUGAUCCUCAUUUUAACAGAAGUUCUUGCUGUGGUUUAAGUCAUUUCAUCUAAAGUGAACAGUGGGCUGUUUCUGUAACCUUUCUGUCUCAAACUGAGUUUUAGCAGCUAACUCCUCCCUGCAGAUUCUUUUCAUUCAAGCAAACCUCAUAGCACCAGAAGUUAAUUCAACCUGUGGAUGUGGAGAGAGGAACACCCUGAGAAUACCUGGGAUAGGAUUUGGCAGGCAAAGAACACAAGUCACUUUUAGUUUUAUAACUUCUGUAACAAAGAAACAUGGGUGACCAUGCUGCUGCCUGGAGUGGAACACCAGAACA